AUUCGCUCCGGACUAAACUGAGGGAGAGAAGCGUCACCUCAGCCCCAGACUCCGCCCUCAUCAGCCCGACCCCACCCUGCGCCUGCUCCGCGCUCCACACACACACCACCGUGCUGCUGGGGAACCUCCCAGCCAGAGUCGUUGUACUAAAGCAGCGAGAGUCACAAAAGAACUACAUGUCCCAUGAUGCCCCGCGCGGUCAAGAUGAGCGAAUGGAACUCGGAGCGGAGCAGCGGCGGUGACAGCUGAGUUUACUGACAGAGACACUGACGCGACCACGGACCGACUCAGGUGAAACCAACAUGACACACUCGGGACAGGACAGAAGCCGGCCGGUAAAGCAGCACUAGAGAUCAUUUAAUUUAAUGGGAAUACACUAAACCAGACAGUUCCCUCUCCUGCACAGAUCAUCACAUGCUAACGACUGCAGGCUCACAGCAAUCACACAGAUUUUUAAACCUGAUGCCCUGAGAGCCUUUCUUAUCUCCCUGAGCCACCAGGGGGCCUCAGUCCCACAGUGGCACAAGUGUAGCCUUCAGUUUGUCUUCAUCCUGA